AAUAUUGAUCGGAAACACAACAAAUAACAGAAACUAUCCGGAAGAAAAACAGACUAAAUUUCACAUUUUCUCCCCUUUUUCACUGCCACGAGAACGACGCUCGGACAAAACACCACUACUGUCACAAGAACGACGCUUGGACAAAACUACACUACUGUCACAAGAACGACGCUUGGACAAAACACCUAACUCAUUCGUACGUCUCAUUCAUUCAAUUUCAUUCAUUUUCAUUCAUUCUCAGUCACACUAACAUUCAUAAAUUUUACUCAAUCGCACUCACUUUCAGACUGCAUACUCAUUCAUAUUCAUGACACGCAUACUACCUUAAACUAAUUAAAACUUAUAUUAUGGACGCCCUUAAUUUUAAUAUUUUUCUUUUCGACUCUUUCCGAAGAGUCGAAAAGAUACAUAAUUUUUACGAAAUGUUUCACUCAUUACGUACUUCUAUUACUCGCUCAACUUGUGAGAGAAAAUCGAUUGAAGCUACGCAGAAUGAAACCAUUUACGUUGAGAGUGUACAGUUGGCAUCUAAUCGGCGGGCAAACGUUAUCCCGCCAACUUAGAUACCACCCUGUCGUAUGUUUGUUUAUUUUCCGAUCUGUCAGUUCUGCUCGUACAUUACUGACCACUUAUAGAAAACAACGAAAAGUGAUACGAAUUUGAAUGGAUACAGGAUACAGGAUGGAUAGCAGAUAUGAAGAACUUAAUAUCUUCAAAGACGGUGGUUUGAAGAAUAUUUAUACUACUGCGAUGAUUGAAAUGACUUGCAUCGGCCCGGGAGAAAGUGGAG